CCUCUUUCCUUUCCCCUACCCGGCUGAGAUUGACGAGAGGGUUAACCCGAAGAUGCUGUUCCAGCUGCACGACUAAGGCAGAGGAACCGAGAUACACAGACAAAGAAACAAGAGACACGGGACACGGCAGCAGCUCCUCACUGAGUCUGUUUUGUGCUCGGCUUGUCGUCUUGUUUGUGUUUUUCCUGAAGUGGAAAUCUUGUAAAUGUUUAGCAUUUGGCUGCUUUGUUACUUAACUCUUGGAUCAAUUCCGGUGUUCACUGUGUCGGGUGGAGGAAACCAGCUGAGCCCGGAGAACAGUUUAAUAUGGGGACCUGGUCUGAGAGCAGAUGUUGUACUCCCUGCUCGGUAUUUUUAUGUUCAGGCUUUGGACACUGAAGGGCAGAGGUUUACUUUCUCUCCAGGAGCAAAUGCAUUCCAGGUGAAGAUCACUGCUCCUGAUGAGCAGUUCACACGGGUAGGAGUGCAGAUACUAGACAGAAAAGAUGGCUCCUUCAUUGUGAGGUACAGAAUGUAUGCAAGCUACAAAAACCUGAAGAUAGAAGUCAAAGUCAAAGAGAAACAUGUUGCCAAGUCUCCAUAUGUUUUAAAAGGCCCUGUUUACCAUGAGCUUUGUGACUGCCCUCGCCAAGACAGCACUGCAUGGCUGGAAGAUAUGAGCUGUCCGCAAGCCAUUCCACAGAUUCAGAGAGACCUAGCAUAUUUUCCUACUGUUGAUCCAGAUAAAAUUGCAAAGGAAAUUCCACAAAGGUUUGGACUAAGACAGAGCUUGUGCCACUACACCAUAAAAGAUAACAAGGUUUAUAUAAAGACCCAUGGUGAGCAUGUAGGCUUCAGGAUUUUCAUGGAUGCCAUACUACUUUCUUUGACUAGAAAAGUGAAAAUGCCAGAUAUAGAGUUUUUUGUUAAUUUAGGGGAUUGGCCUUUAGAGAAAAAGAAAUCUGUUCAGAACCUCCAUCCCAUCUUCUCAUGGUGUGGAUCCACAGAAUCGAAAGACAUUGUGAUGCCAACCUAUGAUUUGACGGACUCAGUCUUAGAAACUAUGGGCCGAGUCAGCCUGGACAUGAUGUCUGUCCAGGCCAACACUGGGCCACUCUGGGAAGACAAGAAUACCACAGCAAUUUGGAGGGGACGAGACAGCCGCAAAGAGAGGCUUGAACUUGUAAAACUCAGUAGAAAAUACCCAGAUAUCAUAGAUGCUGCUUUCACAAACUUUUUCUUUUUUAAACAUGAUGAAAGCCUCUAUGGUCCCAUUGUGAAGCAUAUUUCAUUUUUUGAUUUUUUCAAGUAUAAAUAUCAAAUUAAUAUUGAUGGCACAGUGGCUGCAUACAGAUUGCCUUACCUAUUAGCAGGAAACAGUGUUGUGCUGAAGCAAGACUCCAUUUACUAUGAACAUUUUUAUAAUGAGCUGCUGCCCUGGAAACACUAUAUUCCAUUUAAAAGUGACCUGAGUGACCUACUGGAAAAGCUACAGUGGGCAAAAAAUCAUGACGAAGAGGUAAAUCUGUAUUACAACAGUUGGAAACAUUUCCUGACAAACUAAAAGCAAGGAAUAUUGCAAAAUCAGGGCAAGAAUUUGCACGAAAUAACCUCAUGGGAGAUCAUGUAUUCUGUUAUUAUUUCAAACUUUUCCAGGAAUAUGCCAAUUUACAAGUGAGUGAGCCAAAAAUCAGAGAUGGCAUGGAGAAGGUGGAACAGCCUGACGAUGACCUGUUUCCAUGUACUUGCCACAGAAAGAAGGCCAAAGAUGAACUCUAAAAGGAAGAAAUUAAUGACAUUUUUAGGAAACUUUACCGAUCUUCAGAAUUCCUUUGAGAAAAUAAAACAAUUUUAUUAACAGUUUCAAUGGACAAUACAAAACAGCAUUCAAAAGUCUGAAUGGGGAAUAUCUGUUCAUUUUUAUCAUUAGUAUCAAUAGAAUUUGCUGUUUUGAGAUGUUUUUAUGUUUUUUAAUAAAUUCAUCGUCACUUCA